CGAAACAGAAUAGCCCAUAUGUGUGUGUGUGUGUGUAUACUAGUACAAAUGCCCGUGCAUUGCACCGGCCGAAAAAUGAAAUAUAACCUAUUCCUGUGCCAUUAUGCAAUAAUUUUUUAAUUCAAUUUUACGGGGACAUUAUCUUCUAGUGCUUUUACACAAAUCACCCUUCUACUUCUUCCUUUACCCACUGUCCCUGUGUCUCCAAUCAAAACACAUUAUCGCAAUCUACCUGCAAAAAAAGGACACUAUCACCAUCAACGAAACAGGUCAUUCAUAACCCUCCCACGUGCACACUUUGAAUUCCAGACACGUACCAUGCCAUCAGCACUCAGCAUCAAGUUUUGACUACCAUCGCUGACAUGUAUGCACCAUACUCGGCACCCUUCCAAUUAGCUCACUCCAUUUUCCAUUCCCUCCUCUCUUUUCUCUUCCUCAUCAGAUCGUGUAAUAGUGCAACUGUAAAUUCCAGUAAACCGCUCCAUCAGCUCACUAAAGUUAUCUAAGUCACUGAACACUGUUCUCUGCAAACCAUUUUGUUUGAAUAUUACUCAAAUCUACAUUCUAAAAUAUGUCUACAUACAUCCGUAUGUAGUCUAUAUUGAAAUAUCUAAAAUUACUUAUAUUUAGGCGGAAGGAGUAGAAAAUAAAAAGCAUGAAAGUGUAUACCAAGUAGUUCCAUAUUUGGUUUCAGAGCACAAAUUUGUAUUCCUGUC
rnacentral:lncRNA from 1 species